CUUAGGCUCACCAGGGUGAGCGAACUGUGAAUUCUCACCAAAUUUAUCCCCACAAAGACUUCGAAUUGAGACGGAAUGAUUUUUAUGAGAAUCUCACAAAAUUGCUAAAAACAUGCUGUGCAGAUGCAUCCUUUCUUACAAGAUGUUAGUUUUACAAGACAUUCUUCUUCCUAUGUCAGCUUCAUUCUCAAACUAUUCUUGAGUUUGAUUUUAUAUUAUUAGAUACGCACUUGUACCAAAUUUUGAGUUUGUACGACAAAAUAGUUGGUACGUACAACGCCAACAACCUAACUCACCCCACUGGACAAGUAAAUUAGACAAACCAUGCCCAUUUUCGAACUCACGUAAAGAUAUGCAUUUUGAGACAAGUUUGUCAAAAUCAGUUUUCUCUAGUAGUAGGUCCGCUAACUACAGUGAAAUAGACUGACGUAACGAUGUAGAUUAUAGAUACACAUGUUUGUUACCGACUCACUUGUACAAAACUCAUGUUUCUCAGACUCUGUAAAUUGACGAGAGCGGUACGUGUUUGCCCUAAAUUCAAUUUAGAAACUUAUCCCUAUUAUUGCGAAGUAAAAAUCUUUAUAUAGUUUUUAUAUGGUAAACUGUUGUAAUUAUCUAUUCUAUCCGCUUUCUAUUCUCCAGCAAGUUGAGUAAGACAAGUACGCACCGGCUAUGAAAAUUAAUACUCAAAAUCUUGAGUCGCGUGCAUGAUGAGUUGGAGUUGGAGCUACCUAAUUCUGUUUGGCUGACAUGAUUUUGCUAAUGCUUAAUGAUAAUAAUCCUGCGUAUAUAUAUGUAUGUAUAUACUCAAUUCUGUACUCUUUAUUACAUCCAUCCAACCCUAUUGUUGUACUAAACCUUCAAGAUCAGAAAAUAUUGCUGCUGGCUUUGCAUUGUUGACAUGGCAGAGUCUGGGGAGCACGAGCAACGUCGUCUAAAGGGUGGUGGAUGAAAGAGAUGACGAAAAUUACAAGCUGGGAACAUGUGCAUACGGCCGUCCAUGCAUUGGAGAAAGCAGGGCAGCAGCAGGGUUAAACAUUGAAGCUAAAACAAGUGAUGUCGAAACGCAGGGUUAAUUUAUGGCCUUCUCAAAAGGGCAUCCUGAGUGUAAUAAUAAUAAUGGACUAUAAUCUUCACCGACGACCCUUACAUUCGCCACAUGUAAAAAGAAAGGCAGGAGCUUGUGUCUUCCACGUGGAACUAACUAGCCAGCACGAGUAGCAUGAAAACAAGGACCAGAGUUGGUUGGAGAUUAUGAACGAAGCCUGAAACACGAAAACAAAUUACACAGGACGAUGCGCAGUUGUUGAAGACAAGACUCAACGGACGAAAGCCACUUUGUAAAACUGGGGAAAUUAAGAAAGGACUCUUCGUCUCCCACGUAUUUCUUGGAAAUAGAAUGCAGAAUUAGAAUGAAGCAAGCUGACAGUGAAAGUCAUCUCACCAAAUAUCGCAAACACCAACCGCAAACCAGCCUGUGACCAUGUGAACCCUCGUCCAUCCACGAACACAACUGGUUUUAUGUCACCAGAUUGUAAUUGGGUAGUCAAACGGACCAAAUACUCACUUGGUCAAGCUGACAAAGAUAUUUCGAACGGUCUUCAUUAAGAGAAAGCAAUAAACACGAGCUCCCCAGUUUCACAAGCCUUCCUUGACAUCAGGAGAUUCACAACACACAGACCGAUGCACUUUAUGUGUCUAUGCAGACAUCCUGGCUCACGAUACAAUCAUUGUGGAAGAAGUAAUAAUAUGAUCCUCUAUAUUGAAUGAUGUUCCACUGCUCGAGUCAAAUGUGUCCAGGAAAAGCCAGCCCAUAAAACAAUGUAGCAUAAUAACAGUGUACCGUUGUUACAUUGUUUGCCUGGUGAGUGAAUACUCACCAGAUCGAAAGACAUCAUUUGACAGUAGCAGCAGACACAAGAGAUAAAAAUAUCUCAAAAAGAAAGAAAGCGACAACCUUAUUUCCUCCAGCUUUUCAACUUAAUGUACAGAAAUGCCAUUUCGUGAAGAUCCCUAUAAACGAUAAGUGAGUCUAUAACUACAGGAAUAGUUGUGGCCAAAAUUGUAUAACUUGUUCAAUGAAAACGGAGAAAAUUCACAUAGCGAGUCUGAUUAGCUUAAAAAAAUUAAAAGUGCCAAAAACUUGACUGCUGCUUUAUUAAUAUAUGUACAAGUAAUUUCUAAGUUUCAUUUAUAAAUAAUUUAAUUGAAGUUACAUCAGACUAAAAAUGUGCCUGCUUCUAAUUUUGAUGUCAGUAUUAUUGUGAAUUCGGUCAUAAAAUUAAGUUAUGGGAGCUCAUGAAUAAAAAUAAUAUAAGUUCCUUCACAAAAUAAUA